GACGAACGCUGGCGGCGUGCUUAACACAUGUAAGUCGAACGGUGACCCAUCUUCGGAUGGUGAUCAGUGGCGAACGGGUGAGUAACACGUGGGCAACCUGCCCCUAGCUCUGGGAUAACUCCUCGAAAGAGGUGCUAAUACCGGAUAUCACCUCCCUGGACAUCCAGGGUGGUUGAAAGUUUUUCGGCUAGGGAUGGGCCCGCGGCCUAUCAGCUUGUUGGUGGGGUAAUGGCCUACCAAGGCGACGACGGGUAGCCGGCCUGAGAGGGCGACCGGCCACACUGGGACUGAGACACGGCCCAGACUCCUACGGGAGGCAGCAGUGGGGAAUAUUGCGCAAUGGGCGAAAGCCUGACGCAGCAACGCCGCGUGAGGGAUGACGGCCUUCGGGUUGUAAACCUCUUUCAGCAGGGACGAAGCGAAAGUGACUGUACCUGCAGAAGAAGCGCCGGCUAACUACGUGCCAGCCGCCGCAGUAAAAC
rnacentral:rRNA from 1 species